rnacentral:lncRNA from 1 species
GUUUUUUAAACGUUGAUGAAGAGGUUCCUCUACUUGACAUAGGAAGGGCCUCCAUAAUUUGGCAUUGCCUGUUUUUCUGUUCUAUUUCAAUUUUGAGCUUACAUAUCUACCUGAUCUAAGUCAUCUUCAAAUCGGUUCUCCUGAAUUCCUGCAUCUCGAUUGUGGGAAAUGUUUUUCUUAUUGUUCUUCUUACCUGCGAGCAAUUUCAACGUUUUCAAGAUCAGUAGGCCUCAACAUGUAAAUACACAUGCGAUAGUUUAGGAAAUAAAAGGGUUGAGUUUCAUAAUAUUAUUUGAACCAACAUCCAUAAUCACGUUCAGUGGGGCAAAGUACAGUGUCUAAACUAAGUGGCGUUCUAGAGAAUUAGCUAUUAUCCAUUCACGGAAUGUUGGUUAACUUGCUCUUGGUAUAAAUGCAGGGAGGUAGUAGACAAGUUAGAUUUCAACCUCGAUUUGGGAACUUAUUGGCAAGUUCUACAGGAAAUGUUAUAAAUAUAUUUGAUGUGGAGACUAACAGCAUCCAACAAAAGUUCGAAGUAAGAUUGUCUAUUCCCGGUCAAGCUUGUUUUAAAUUUCUACUAUGCUGCAAUACUGUAUCAUAUCAAAGUGGUCUCCUUUUCUUGGAAAUAUAGGGUCAUGUCAGAGAUGUCCGUUCAAUCUGUUGGGAUAUGAGUGGGAAUUUUCUGGCAUCCGUGAGCGAGGAUAGUGCACGGAUAUGGUUUGUUAGCGGAGGAAAGUGUUUACAUGAACUUUGCUCCAGUGGCAAUAAGUUCCAGUCAUGCACUUUCCACCCUGACCGCGCUCAACUCUUGGUGAUUGGUUCUCAUGAGGUAUGCUUAACAGAAUUUCUGCAGAAGCUUUGAGCUCGUAGAUUAAGUUCUUUGUAGACUUGGCUGGAUUAAUGUCUCUAUAUAGUUGCAUAAAAUGCAGAAGCUUUGAGCUCGUAGAUUAAGUUCUUUGUAGACUUGGCUUGAUUAAUGUCUCUAUAUAGUUGCAUAACAACAAAUGUAACCUAGGAUCAUUCACAUAAAUCACAUGUAACCAUCUCAAACCGUGUUUCAGAUAACUUUUUAGAUGAUCCUAGAUUCUUUUGAUAUUUCAUGAGGGGAAGUAACAUGUCGAGUGUUGUUGCAGUUACUGGAGCUGUGGAAUCCAAUGUACCAGAGCCACAGAACUUGGCCACACCGAGCACAUGAUGAUAUAAUUUCGUCAUUUGCAGAUUCACCUCCGACAGGAACCAUAGCCUCAGUGAGUCAUGACCAGUAUAUCAAGAUAUGGCAGUGAUACUUUGUUGCAUACCAGUUUCUGCGGCUAUACCCCAUGCUCUCAGCUUCCAUUAUUAAUUUACCGAUGCUUCUUGGUUUAAGACAAAUACUUGGCACAAAGCAAGAAGGCAGUAUUCUUGAUUUUGUUGAGGGAUACACACCAUUUCCCUGGGAUGAGUUAUUUGAAUGACUGAAUCACUACAGAAAGAGUCACAAACUUUGAUUCAUAGUUUCAGACUGUCUUAAAUCUUGACAUUGUACUCUUCUGCCCUAUUUUAUUGUUUGGAAAUUGAAUUAAAAAUGUUAAUUAGAAUUGUCUAUGAAAUACCUAAUAUAAAAAUUUAGUCUAUGGAUAAAGUACAAUAUCACAUCAAAGUUUAAAAUUGAAUAAUUAAUGUACUUAUUAAAUUUUUAAUUGGAAAGUUUGUAAAAACAUUAUUAUUAGUUAAAAUGAUAUUUUAUUUGACAUACAUUUGAAUAUAAAGUACAUUUUAGAGAGGAGUAUUUAUUAGGUUUUAUUUGGGAUUGUUUUAAAAAAUUACUACUUAUAAUUAUACGAUUAACAACUUUUGAUGUAACAGAGAUAGGAUCAAACAAUCAAUUUAAUAACCUGAUUGGGCCGAUCCAAUUUUCUGGGUAUUCUCAGUACAAAUCCCAAAAUCUUCCUCAUUGUUCUCUUACUGCUUUUGGAGGUUAAUAAUCCCAAUCAAAACCCCAGCACUCACAAAUCGCUUAAAAAAAAUGGAGUUGAAUGAAUCGAGUAGAAGAGAAGAAGUAUCAUCGGCAAAAACAGUACAGCUUGGAGCUUUGGAUCCUGGAAUCAAUGUCCGUAUAGUUUUCCCCCUUCUCCGCAAAUAUGAUUUUUUAAAACUUUAAACUCCUCUGUUGUAGUUGAUUUUUCGUUUUUGGGUUCAGGGUCCUACAAGGAAUAC